CCCGGGGUAGUGUAGCUGUUAGCACGGCGGUGCGCUCGGAGUAAACCCAUCCGCACACAGCGCAGGUCUGGGCUCGAGUCCUGGGCCCGGGG